rnacentral:lncRNA from 13 species
AUGGAGAGACUGGUAGACUGUCAGGUAAACUUACAGAUGGACAAACAGGCAGACAGACAUAUAGACAACAAGGUGUUCCUUCCUGGGGCCCUCUCACCAGUAGCCCUCUACCCCUGGUUCAGGUGUGUGGUUGCCUUGGUAUCAGUGAUGGGGCUCGUGAUCAUGGCUCUAUUCGUGGGGUUCUGCAUUGGGUUCUACACCCAGACAGCCACACAGGGAACUGGACAAGCAAAUUGCACAGUGAAAUUAAACAAGACCUUCAUACUUCAAGAGGGCAAACCGUCAGAAGAUGAAACAGACGAAUACGACUAUGACAUCUUCAUCGCCCCAAAGGACGCCAUCUAUUUCAUCCAUGGCCAGGUGACGAUGGCAGAAGGGAAGGGGAAAGUCUACCUGUUUUGGAAACUCAAAAGCAGCCGUAAGAUCAAAACCAACAACGGAACCUGCCCUGAGAUCACCUUCGCUACGGAGGUCAAGUUGUUGAAAGGUGGUCGGGUUUACCUCGUCUUCAACACGGGCAAACCCAAACUGAAAGAGAGCACUUUCUCAGUCUACGAGCUCGUCGAGCAGUGACCGGACUGAAACAGUACAGUCUAGAAGGGUUAUGCCGCACUCUGUAAGAUACCGUUAAAGACUGAGUUAACAACAUAAACAAUGGAGCUGAUACAUUUCUACACGCAACUUAAAACCGUAACGUUUGCUUAAAAGAAUCGGGCAGUAAAUACUGGUACAUUACAUGCAUACGUGUUCACUUGUGUACAAUAAUUAUGCAUUGAUUGUGCAAAACAUAAGGAACACCUUCCUAAUAUUGAGUUGCACCCCCUUUUACCUUCAGAACAGCCUCAAUUCGUUGGGGCAUUUAACUCUACAAGGUGUUGAAAGCAUUCCACAGGGAUGCUGGCCCAUGUUGACUCAUGCUUCCCACGGAUGUGUCAAGUUGGCUGGAUGUCAUUUGGAUGGUGGACCAUUCCUGAUACACACAAGAAAAUGUUGAGUGUGAAAAACCCAGCAGCGUUGCAGUUCACCCUGGCACACAUACGCAAUCAAUGUCUCAAUUGUCUCAAGGCUUAAAAAUCAUUCUUUAACCUGUCUUCUCCCCUUCAGCUACACUGAUUGAAGUGGAUUUAACAAGUGACAUCAAAACGGGAUUAUAGCUUUCACCUGGGUUCACCUGGUCAGUCUAUGUCAUGGAAAGAGCAGGUGUUCCUAAUGUUUUGUACACUCAGUGUAUGUGUAUACUGGUAUCGUUAUUGUAUGUUAUCAGAAUGUUAGGGGACAGGGAAUCCCAAGAAAGACAUACAUACCUUAUAUGUUCUACAAUAUUUUAGUUGUAAAACGUAUUGAUCAACCAUGAAGUUACAAAGUGAUUAAAUGUAAUAAUAAGAUGGUGGAAUAUGAUUGUAUGUAAAUAUGUUGUCUAAGUAAUUAUAUUGUGGUCCUCUGUAGGUCAGUUGGUAGAGCAUUUUUCUUGCAAAGCCAGGAUAGUGGGUUCGAUUCCCAGGACCACCCAUACUAAAAACAUAUAUGCACGUAAGUCGCUUUAGCUAAGUGGCAUGAUAUAAGAGGACUCUUAUUAUUUCAGGAAUUCUGAUCUUGCACUGUAUUAUUUUAACCCAGUGCUUUCCCUGUUAUAGUGAAUGUUCUGAAUAUUUACUGUAUUAUUUUAACCCAGUGCUUUCCCUGUUAUAGUGAAUGUUCUGAAUAUUUACGGUAUUAUUUUAACCCAGUGCUUUCCCUGUUAUAGUGAAUGUUCUGAAUAUUUACUGUAUUAUUUUAACCCAGUGCUUUCCCUGUUAUAGUGAAUGUUCUGAAUAUUUACUGUAUUAUUUUAACCCAGUGCUUUCCCUGUUAUAGUGAAUGUUCUGAAUAUUUACUGUAUUAUUUUAACCCAGUGCUUUCCCUGUUAUAGUGAAUGUUCUGAAUAUUUACUGUAUUAUUUUAACCCAGUGCUUUCCCUGUUAUAGUGAAUGUUCUGAAUAUUUACUGUAUUAUUUUAACCCAGUGCUUUCCCUGUUAUAGUGAAUGUUCUGAAUAUUUACUGUAUUAUUUUAACCCAGUGCUGUCCCUGUUAUAGUGAAUGUUCUGAAUAUUUACUGUAUUAUUUUAACCCAGUGCUUUCCCUGUUAUAGUGAAUGUUCUGAAUAUUUACUGUAUUAUUUUAACCCAGUGCUGUCCCUGUUAUAGUGAAUGUUCUGAAUAUUUACUGUAUUAUUUUAACCCAGUGCUGUCCCUGUUAUAGUGAAUGUUCUGAAUAUUUACUAUGCUUUGGAUCAAAUAAAGUAUUUCAUAUGAAAAAACUGCACAGCCUCACAUCAAAUACCCAGUCAUCAGUGCUGAUUUGAAAGUUUUUCCAGGGCCCAGGUCUGUCAAAGACUGGGUGUUCAUUGUGUGAUACUGUGUGCCCGAGGACAUUGUGUAAGCGUUUGUUCCACCGCAGGGACCAUUUAGAAAGUGAAAGUUCAGCAGAGACGUGAUGCAGUGUUUCUCAUCAUCAUGGUCAUGAAGCAAUGUUUGUUUGCUGGCUACACCUGAGCCAUACCUAUGCAAGGCCUACGUAGCCAAAUCUAUUUCACAUGACUGCCCUAUGCAGCCAAGCCUUAACAGCAUCUCUACCCUCUUGAUUACAGUACUUAAGGCCAUUCAUCCACUUCCUUGUGAGCAGGUUGUUUGUCAGAUUUGUGCUGUAGUGAGUGGGUGUCUGGUACUCCACUGUGCUGUCCAUUACAGCACACACACUCAUUCAUGAAUAAAUUAAUGUUGAUUGGAUUUGAAAGGGAUAUGACUAAUAAGCAACCAUUUACAUCCAGUCAGGUAGAGGAAGUUAUUUGGCAGUCAGGUUAGGGAGUGAUAAUAAUAGCUUCGGUUCACGACAAUCUUUGGCUUUAACCUUUUACUGCACAGGGUCACAGAGUGCUUCUUGACAGUCUUAAACAAAUCUACUUUGAAACAAAAGUAUACACCUCAUACACAUGGUUAUGGGCAUUAAAAACAAGACACCUGUACCAUGUCAGACAAAGAUAUUCAAUUUGGAAUUCUCAUCCCAAUAUUACACUUUAUAUCACAGAAGACUUAAAUAUAACAUCUGCAGUUGUUUUUUUAAUAAUAUGAAUAUCAUUCUACCCAUGAGGCCACUAGAGGGCGAUUUGGUCAUUUGACUGCGGGAAAGGGUUUUAAAUGGAAGUUCUGUUUAUAUAAUACAGAAGGAACUGCUAUAGAAAGUGCUAACACUGAACUGCACGCUCCUUCAUGAUAGUAAAAUCUUCCUUGGAAGUCAUAUCUAUACGGGGGAUUUUGCAAAUACGGGCCAUUUUGUGUCUCAGGGUUAGAUUUGUAAGAAAAUGUUCAUUUAGAUUUUUUUCCCCCACAUCCAUUAAGUAGAGACUAAAAUAACAAACUUGCACUGUUUUUGUCCUGUCUCACACCGACUUGACAUUCUUCUAUGUAUUACACUUACAAAAGUCUUGAUAAUUAAAAAAACAUGUAAAACACCUGUUUAAAAAGAGUCAAAUAAAUGGAAACUAUAUAUUAGAUGUGAAUAAGCCAUUUCAUACCUUUUUUUUUACACAAAAUGCAGUCGUCUCUAAGUAUUGUGUCAUUACCACCACGACAAGAAAAUGAUAUGAUUACAUGAUUAUAUGACUUUAUAUGACUUUUUUUUGUGUUUCCUUGAUUACCAUGGACAAGAAUAGUGGAGGGGAAUUCCAAUUUUGAUGCCAGGAAAGUAUAGAAAAAUAAAGGUAAAUAUGACUUGAGAAGAUAUUUGUAUUGUACAUCAUUACCAAAUAGGCUAAUUAUGUGUAUUUAGGAUACAUUGUAUGCUAGCUGGUGUUAGCAUGCUAGAAUCCCUGCUAUUUAUGACCAAAUACUGUAGAAAUCUCAUUACCACCACAUAAUGAACUGUGAUGGUAAGGACAGAAUGUAGUGGUAAUGACAAAAUGUAUUAGGUCAUACAUUUUUACUUUCCUGAAAAGACAAACACAUGACAUAUAUGAUCAUGGUUAAGUUGAAAUUGAACACGUAUUUGCUAAAUAAGACCAUUACAUAUUGUAUUACGUUAGGUUGAUUGAGUGAUUUUGAUGUCUAUUUAUGUGACUUACUAUGGUUAUUACUGACUUCGGUUAUUUAUAUUAAAUGUUUCUAUAAGAUGCCCCCUAAAUCAACCAAGGAGAGGACAAGGACAUACACCUUAUAUACAAAAGUAUAUGGACACCGUAUGUACCGUCAUAGGAUGCCACCUUUCCAACAAGUAAGUUCGUCAAAUGUCUGCCCUGCUAGAGCUGCCCCGGUCAACUGUAAGUGCUGUUAUUGUGAAGUGGAAACGUCUAGGAGCAACAACGGCUCAUCCGCGAAGUGGUAGGCCACACAAGCUCCCAGAACGGAACCAGCAAGUGUUGAAGCGUGUAGCGCAUACAAAUCGUCUGUCCUACAUUGGAACACUCACUCCCGAGUUCCAAACGGACUCUGGAAGCAACGUCAGCAGAGUCACUUCGUCGGGAGCUUCAUGAAAUGGGUUUCCAUGGCCGAGCAGCCGCACACAAGCACAAGAUCACCAUGCACAAUGCCAAGCUGGAGUGGUGUAAAACUAGCCACCAUUGGACUCUGGAGCAGUGGAAACGCUUUCUCUGGAGUGAUGAAUCACGCUUCAACAUCUGGCAGUCCGACAGAUGACUCUGGGUUUGGUGGAUGCCAGGAGAAUGCUACCUUCCCUAAUACAGAGUGCCAACUGUAAAGUUUGGUGGAGGAGGAAUAAUGGUCUGGGGCUGUUUUUAAUGGUUUGUGCUAGGCCUUCAGUUCCAGUGAAGGGAAAUCUUAACGCUUCUGCAGACAAUGACAUUCUAGACGAUUCUGUGCUUCCAACUUUGUGGCAACAGUUUUAGGGAAGGCCCUUCACUGUUUCAGCAUGGCAAUGCCCCGUGCACAAAGCGAGGUCUGGAAGAACGACUGGGCCUGCACAGAGCCCUGACCUCAACCCCAUCGAACUCCUUUGGGAUGAAUUCAAACGAAUGGUCUGUUCUAUAUCUUCAAUCAAAUUAAACAUGUACAACUGUGAAAAUGUUAAAUGGUAUUUAACAUUUUUUUUAUUUAAUGGUAUUUUUCAUCAAAUGUUUUAUAUGAAAUGUAAUAUCCACCACACUGUCAUUACCACAACACCAAGUCGUUACCAUCACGGUACAUAUUUUUGAGGCAAAGGUGCAUUAAAUUACAAUUGAUAUGGAUGACUUUUCCCAUAUGUGAACCUUAUAUGCUUGUUUAUAAGAUACUUUCUAAAGUAAUGUAAAAUAUUAAGAUUUUGAUGUAAAUACAUGUUUGAGUAUCAUCAAGGCACAUAUGAACAUUUAGACAUGACAAUGAUGAAUACAUAUAAUUAAGAAAACUUCCGAAUAGUAAAUAAGUAACAUGAAAAAAUACAGUUCAUGUGAAAUGUUAU